rnacentral:rRNA from 1 species
AUGAACGCUAGCUACAGGCUUAACACAUGCAAGUCGAGGGGCAGCAUGGUCUUAGCUUGCUAAGGCCGAUGGCGACCGGCGCACGGGUGAGUAACGCGUAUCCAACCUGCCUUACACUCUUGGACAGCCUUCUGAAAGGGAGAUUAAUACAAGAUGUUAUCAUGAGUAAGCAUUUUCGCAUGAUUAAAGGUUUACCGGUGUAAGAUGGGGAUGCGUUCCAUUAGAUAGUAGGCGGGGUAACGGCCCACCUAGUCUUCGAUGGAUAGGGGUUCUGAGAGGAAGGUCCCCCACAUUGGAACUGAGACACGGUCCAAACUCCUACGGGAGGCAGCAGUGAGGAAUAUUGGUCAAUGGACGAGAGUCUGAACCAGCCAAGUAGCGUGAAGGAUGAAGGUUCUAUGGAUUGUAAACUUCUUUUAUACGGGAAUAAACGAAUCCACGCGUGGAUUUUUGCAUGUACCGUAUGAAUAAGGAUCGGCUAACUCCGUGCCAGCAGCCGCGGUAAUACGGAGGAUCCGAGCGUUAUCCGGAUUUAUUGGGUUUAAAGGGAGCGUAGAUGGGUUGUUAAGUCAGUUGUGAAAGUUUGCGGCUCAACCGUAAAAUUGCAAUUGAUACUGGCAGUCUUGAGUACAGUUGAGGUAGGCGGAAUUCGUGGUGUAGCGGUGAAAUGCUUAGAUAUCACGAAGAACUCCGAUUGCGAAGGCAGCUUACUAACCUGUAACUGACAUUGAUGCUCGAAAGUGUGGGUAUCAAACAGGAUUAGAUACCCUGGUAGUCCACACGGUAAACGAUGAAUACUCGCUGUAGGCGAUAUACAGUCUGCGGCCAAGCGAAAGCAUUAAGUAUUCCACCUGGGGAGUACGCCGGCAACGGUGAAACUCAAAGGAAUUGACGGGGGCCCGCACAAGCGGAGGAACAUGUGGUUUAAUUCGAUGAUACGCGAGGAACCUUACCCGGGCUUAAAUUGCAACCGAAUAUGGCGGAAACGCUAUAGCUAGCAAUAGCGGUUGUGAAGGUGCUGCAUGGUUGUCGUCAGCUCGUGCCGUGAGGUGUCGGCUUAAGUGCCAUAACGAGCGCAACCCUUGCCGAUAGUUACUAACAGGUCAUGCUGAGGACUCUGUCGGGACUGCCAUCGUAAGGUGUGAGGAAGGUGGGGAUGACGUCAAAUCAGCACGGCCCUUACGUCCGGGGCUACACACGUGUUACAAUGGGGGGUACAGAGGGCUGCUACCACGCAAGUGGAUGCCAAUCCCAAAAACCUCUCUCAGUUCGGAUUGAAGUCUGCAACCCGACUUCAUGAAGCUGGAUUCGCUAGUAAUCGCGCAUCAGCCACGGCGCGGUGAAUACGUUCCCGGGCCUUGUACACACCGCCCGUCAAGCCAUGGGAGCCGGGGGUACCUGAAGUGCGUAACCGCAAGGAGCGCCCUAGGGUAAAACUGGUGACUGGGGCU